UAACGUUUUGAAAAGAACGCUAAUACCGCAUAACAUAUCGGAACCGCAUGAUUCUGAUAUCAAAGGAGCAAUCCGCUGAGAGAUGGGCUCGCGUCCGAUUAGUUAGUUGGUGAGGUAACGGCUCACCAAGACUACGAUCGGUAGCCGGACUGAGAGGUUGAUCGGCCACAUUGGGACUGAGACACGGCCCAGACUCCUACGGGAGGCAGCAGUGGGGGAUAUUGCGCAAUGGGGGAAACCCUGACGCAGCAACGCCGCGGAAGGAAGAAGGUCUUCGGAUUGUAAACUUCUUUUGUCAGGGACGAAGAAAGUGACGGUACCUGACGAAUAAGCUCCGGCUAACUACGUGCCAGCAGCCGCGGUAAUACGUAGGGAGCGAGCGUUGUCCGGAUUUACUGGGUGUAAAGGGUGCGUAGGCGGCCGAGCAAGUCAGUUGUGAAAACUAUGGGCUUAACCCAUAACGUGCAAUUGAAACUGUCCGGCUUGAGUGAAGUAGAGGUAGGCGGAAUUCCCGGUGUAGCGGUGAAAUGCGUAGAGAUCGGGAGGAACACCAGUGGCGAAGGCGGCCUACUGGGCUUUAACUGACGCUGAGGCACGAAAGCAUGGGUAGCAAACAGGAUUAGAUACCCUGGUAGUCCAUGCCGU
rnacentral:rRNA from 1 species